rnacentral:lncRNA from 1 species
AAAUAAAAUAUUCAAGAGGAUUAUAAAUAUAUUUAAUCUUUUAAAUAUUUAAAAAAAGAUUUAAUUAAAAUACUCCGAUAAUGUAAAAUGAUUUUACACCGUCAGUUAAUCAUAACCGUUGAAUAUUGAAAUAAGUUUGACUUUUAUUUUAACAAUCUAUAAAAUAAUAUAAACCGGUGAUGAUAAAUCGAUAGUGUAAAACUUUUUACACCGACACUGCAUAAUAAUAAUAAUUAAUCUCUUUAAAAUAUAUGCUAACAAU